GCGCCCGUAGCUCAGGUGGAUAGAGCGGAAGACUUCUAAUCUUCAGGCCGGGGGUUCGAAUCCUCCCGGGCGCGCCA
rnacentral:tRNA from 1 species